rfam:Medicago truncatula strain A17 chromosome 7, whole genome shotgun sequence.
AAUUUGUGACCUGGACACCCCUUAAGAAACAACUUGUACCUCUCACAUGCAUCGUAUAGGUUUUCACCGUCUUCUUGUUGAAAACUUGAAAUCUUCGACCUU